AAAAAUCUAAGGAAAAGAUUGGCACAAUUCAUUAACAAUCCCAUUUCACAGUAAGUUCCAAAAAUUGCAAUACGUUUUUGUUUCUCCUUGAAGCUAACAGCUUUCAGGUGCCUCCUUCACUGAAAUGUUUUAAAUACAAACACUUCACAUUUUUACUGUAAUAGUUUCUAUUAUUGCAUAACAAAUCACUUUCAAAACCAGGUGCCUUCAAACCAUAAUGAUCAUUUGUUAUCUCUCAUGGUUAAGAAAUUCAGGAGUGAGGAAGGCUCCUUAUCUGCUCCACAACGUCUGGUGAGGGACUUGAAGGCUAGGAGCUGUAACUGUCACAUGUCUAGCUAUUGACAUUGGCUGUUGGAUGAAACUAGCCAGAACAACUGGUUGUACCACAUACAUAUGACUGUUCGGUGUGGCUUGGGCUUCCUUACAAAACAGCAGCUUCGAGAGCAUGCUUCAGGUCCUGAACUAGACGUUUUUGAGGAACUUCCAGACUUGCCUUUAUAUUCCGUGAGAUACCACCGUAUCACCAUAAGACUUCAGAUUAAUUCUGUCGACUGCGCAGGUCAAAAAUAGCAUGCACUGACUCCAUCAGAAUUCAAGAUGUGUAUCCUGGAGUUCCAGUUUCUGGAGGAAC
ensembl:lncRNA